UACGAAGGGGGCUAGCGUUGUUCGGAAUCACUGGGCGUAAAGCGCACGUAGGCGGAUCUUUAAGUCAGGGGUGAAAUCCCGAGGCUCAACCUCGGAACUGCCUUUGAUACUGGGAAGCUCGAGUCCGGGAGAGGUGAGUGGAACUCCGAGUGUAGAGGUGAAAUUCGUAGAUAUUCGGAAGAACACCAGUGGCGAAGGCGGCUCACUGGCCCGGUACUGACGCUGAGGUGCGAAAGCGUGGGGAGCAAACAGG
rnacentral:rRNA from 1 species